UACGUAGGGUGCGAGCGUGUCCGGAAUUAUUGGGCGUAAAGAGCUCGUAGGCGGUUUGUCGCGUCGGGAGUGAAAACUCAGGGCUUAACCCUGAGCCUGCUUCCGAUACGGGCAGGACUAGAGGUAUGCAGGGGAGAACGGAAUUCCUGGUGUAGCGGUGAAAUGCGCAGAUAUCAGGAGGAACACCGGUGGCGAAGGCGGUUCUCUGGGCAUUACCUGACGCUGAGGAGCGAAAGUGUGGGGAGCGAACAGG
rnacentral:rRNA from 1 species